GCACGAAACGUGAAUAGUCUUGUCCCUUUUUAAAUAUUAACUAGACAGCUACAGUUUCAGCUCUCCAUCUCAGACCCCCCAUCAGAUCCGAGUGGGUUUCCUGAUAGGCAGCCAGGCCCCUUUUGUUUGGCCUUGCUAUGCCAAAGGGUCCAGGGAAAGGGAGAACUUAAAGAUCAGCUCUGCGAUUCCCUUCAGACAACACUCAGUGUGAUUGUGGGGGCUUGAGCCCCCCUCUGUUCCCUCUGAAAGGAUUGCGGUGGGCCUGGAAAUGCCGAACACCACUGCAUGUGCUUAAGAAGCAUUGCUGGGCUUGCUCAGCAGGACAGGGGUAGAGCGGAGCAGGGCCUUCUCGGCACAGAGGCUCACACAUGGUUAACUCAGAAGACCUGCCAGAAGCAGGGCUUUGGGUUAGGGAGCUCUUAGCUCCAGAAUAUUCCUCAGAAUCAGGUCCCAAGACAGCACAUGGCUUAGGAAUAGGCAUCAGACCAAAAAGAAGAAAGCAAAAGCACAGGACAGCUUUCCCAGGGGGGAGCGGAGUUUAAUGACAGGGAGCGGGAGAGCUCAGAAAGACAGGCGUCUGUCACCGAGCUGCUUCACACACAGUAUUUAAAGCCCAGUCGCUAGAUCCACUUCCACUCCAGUGGCUUUACUAAAGCAGCACUCGGUGUACCCUGGAGAAUGUGAUGGGUCUCGUGUGCAAAUCCACGUGUUUCAACAGUUUGCUUUGAAAGAGCAGACAUUACGGCCAAGUGUCUCAGCACACCUUCGUCGUGUAGUGAUUGACCUUGGCUACCCUCCAGGAGCACAAGUUUUGGGAAGAGCAGUCACUUUGAAAAUCCAGCUCCAGCCAUCUGUCACACUCUGCUGCUGCCUCUGCUCCGUCUGACUGUUAAAUCCCACUUAGGCAGCUGGAAAGGUUGGAGCAGCAUGUCUAGGCAGCCACGAACCUGCAUAAGCAAGUGUGGAUUUUAAACUCCUCUGGCGAAAGUCAAGAGGCUUCCCUGCUGUCUCCCCACUACCUGUGCCCUCUUGUGCAGAUGCAGCCCCUGAAGCCCACAGAAGAAUCCCACAGGACCGUGGCCUCUUCCCACCCCAAAGCUGCUUUCUGGGGCCAGACCGUCAGUGAUGGGCCAGCUGAGAAGAGCAUCAUAACAAAACCAGAAGUGCUCUCUGAAAACACCUGAUAUCAUCUUGCAAUUAACUGAAAGAAUGGGGGUUUGCUACUAGACUUUCCACAAGAAAAACAAACAAACAAAAAAAUUAUUUUUGUCACAAAUAGCAGUGAUCUCUGUGAAUAAUUUAUUUUGCAGAAAUAUUAGUAUUUCCAUGGCCUAUGAGUAAAAAUUGAAUAAACCCACCACUAAAGGACAGAUCGUACAGACUUUGCCUUCGGUUCUUUACAACACACUGCUCGGUGUUAAUACUUAAGGCUCAGCAGUAAUUAAGCAGCAUCUAGCACGCGGCAGCUCCUCUGAUUGCAACGUUAACCACAUGGUAAUCUGUACUAAUGCUACAGCAGUAUCUUGUGAUAAUGAAUGAAAUAACUGGUGUCAACGCCAGAGCUGGGGAUUAUUGCAGGCGGGGGAAAACAUCCCAGUUGUUAGGAGUUUGCAUAAGCUUCUGCUGACUGCAGUUGUUUCCAGUUGCGUUGGGAAUCAAUAGCAAGUGCUGGCAGGCAGAGUCAGGUCAAUGUCAGCCCCCUGGAUUAAUUCUGAGCUUAUUAGCAUGAGUUAUAAGGGUCAGGAAGGAGUCGGUAUUAAUGUUAAACCUUUUAUAGUCCAGAUUCAUGUUAGGCAGCCAAAUAGAAGUAGACGAGAGUUUUGGAGACUUCUCUGCUUUCUUUAGAGAA